CGGAACGUGCCCAAUCGUGGGGGAUAGCUCGGCGAAAGCCGGAUUAAUACCGCAUACGAUCUACGGAUGAAAGCAGGGGACUCGCAAGAGCCUUGCGCGAAUGGAGCGGCCGAUGGCAGAUUAGGUAGUUGGUGGGGUAAAGGCUCACCAAGCCGACGAUCUGUAGCUGGUCUGAGAGGACGACCAGCCACACUGGGACUGAGACACGGCCCAGACUCCUACGGGAGGCAGCAGUGGGGAAUUUUGGACAAUGGGCGCAAGCCUGAUCCAGCAAUGCCGCGUGCAGGAUGAAGGCCUUCGGGUUGUAAACUGCUUUUGUACGGAACGAAAAGGCUCUGGUUAAUACCUGGGGCUCAUGACGGUACCGUAAGAAUAAGCACCGGCUAACUACGUGCCAGCAGCCGCGGUAAUACGUAGGGUGCGAGCGUUAAUCGGAAUUACUGGGCGUAAAGCGUGCGCAGGCGGUGAUGUAAGACAGUUGUGAAAUCCCCGGGCUCAACCUGGGAACUGCAUCUGUGACUGCAUCGCUGGAGUGCGGCAGAGGG
rnacentral:rRNA from 1 species